rnacentral:rRNA from 1 species
GCGGACAGAUGGGAGCUUGCUCCCUGAUGUUAGCGGCGGACGGGUGAGUAACACGUGGGUAACCUGCCUGUAAGACUGGGAUAACUCCGGGAAACCGGGGCUAAUACCGGAUGCUUGAUUGAACCGCAUGGUUCAAUUAUAAAAGGUGGCUUUUAGCUACCACUUACAGAUGGACCCGCGGCGCAUUAGCUAGUUGGUGAGGUAACGGCUCACCAAGGCGACGAUGCGUAGCCGACCUGAGAGGGUGAUCGGCCACACUGGGACUGAGACACGGCCCAGACUCCUACGGGAGGCAGCAGUAGGGAAUCUUCCGCAAUGGACGAAAGUCUGACGGAGCAACGCCGCGUGAGUGAUGAAGGUUUUCGGAUCGUAAAACUCUGUUGUUAGGGAAGAACAAGUACCGUUCGAAUAGGGCGGUACCUUGACGGUACCUAACCAGAAAGCCACGGCUAACUACGUGCCAGCAGCCGCGGUAAUACGUAGGUGGCAAGCGUUGUCCGGAAUUAUUGGGCGUAAAGCGCGCGCAGGCGGUUUCUUAAGUCUGAUGUGAAAGCCCCCGGCUCAACCGGGGAGGGUCAUUGGAAACUGGGGAACUUGAGUGCAGAAGAGGAGAGUGGAAUUCCACGUGUAGCGGUGAAAUGCGUAGAGAUGUGGAGGAACACCAGUGGCGAAGGCGACUCUCUGGUCUGUAACUGACGCUGAGGCGCGAAAGCGUGGGGAGCGAACAGGAUUAGAUACCCUGGUAGUCCACGCCGUAAACGAUGAGUGCUAAGUGUUAGAGGGUUUCCGCCCUUUAGUG